rnacentral:rRNA from 1 species
GUAACACGUAGUCAACAUGCCCAGGGGACGUGGAUAACCUCGGGAAACUGAGGAUAAACCGCGAUAGGUCACUACUUCUGGAAUGGGUAAUGACUCAAACCUAUAUGGCCCCUGGAUUGGACUGCGGCCGAUCAGGCUGUUGGUGAGGUAAUGGCCCACCAAACCUGUAACCGGUACGGGCUCUGAGAGGAGGAGCCCGGAGAUGGGCACUGAGACAAGGGCCCAGGCCCUAUGGGGCGCAGCAGGCGCGAAACCUCUGCAAUAGGCGAAAGCCUGACAGGGUUACUCUGAGUGAUCUCCGUUAAGGAGAUCUUUUGGCACCUCUAAAAAUGGUGCAGAAUAAGGGGUGGGCAAGUCUGGUGUCAGCCGCCGCGGUAAUACCAACACCCCGAGUGGUCGGGACGUUUAUUGGGCCUAAAGCAUCCGUAACCCGGUUCUACAAAUUCUUCCGUUAAAUCCCAGCUUCUUAACCAAAUGGGCCUGCCGAAAAAAACUUAUGAAACCA